CACUUUUAGACACAAUCUGUUCUGGGUCAAUAUUUGUUUCACCUUGGCAAAGCUUCCUAUACAAACCUGUGAUCAUAUGCCUUUGUUUUCUCACUUCAGGUACAAGAGAGGUGAGCACAAGAUGGGCCAAAUAUGAGAUGUGGAAUCAGGAAAAACAGAAAAAGUGGAAGAAAUGGCAAACGUGGACGUGAGAGCAGCUGGGUUUUCUAGCUCUGGGCGUCUGCAGGAAUCAUGUUCCAGGAAGGGCUGGGAGAGGCUGCGGGGAAAAGGAAGGGGUGCAGGGGAGUGUGCCCCACCCUUGCCCUGUGCCUGCAGGUGGGCCGGACUUGGACCCUGCCUGGAUGAUCUGCGAAGAAAUAGGGUUCCAAAAGGGCAGAUCCCAAGACAAUGCCUUAUAAAGGUCCUGGCUAACGUUUCCAUGGCAGCUUGCUGAGUGGCCGAGCUGAUCUCAGCCCUUCCAGGGGUGACUCAUUGACUCCUCCCAAGCUGGAGAGGUGAGAGUUCUUUUCCGGUUUACAUAUCAGGAAGCUGAGGCAUGGAAAGGUAGCUGGAGACCACCCUGGCUGAGCUGUGAUCAGUCGCAUCUAGACUAGUUUGGUGUUUCAGAGCAAGUCUCUCAAAUGCCCUGUGCCUCAAUGCUCUCAUCUGCACGUUGGAAGAAAGAAUUCCUGCUUCCCAGAGCCGUUGGGAGGAGUAACAGAGGUGAAGUGUGUAAAGUACACACGAAAGGAACUCAGCUGACAGCAGCAUCUUCACUGGUUCCUCUCUGUGACACAGGGAACGUGAUCAUGCCAACAACAUCCUUUGCUGUGAACAUCAAACAAACAAACACAUGUGAUGAAGUUACAACAGCCCCUAGCCCAUAGGAGGAACUCAGAUGAUCUUGCUCUAUCACCUGGGCUGGAGUGCAGUGGCAUGAUCGCGGCUCACUGAAGCCUCAUCCUCCUGGGCUCAGGUGAUCCU
rnacentral:lncRNA from 1 species